rnacentral:rRNA from 1 species
GAUGAACGCUGGCGGCGUGCCUAAUACAUGCAAGUCGAGCGAACGGACGAGGAGCUUGCUUCUCUGAUGUUAGCGGCGGACGGGUGAGUAACACGUGGAUAACCUACCUAUAAGACUGGGAUAACUUCGGGAAACCGUAGCUAAUACCGGAUAAUAUUUUGAACCGCAUGGUUCAAUAGUGAAAGACGGUCUUGCUGUCACUUAUAGAUGGAUCCGCGCUGCAUUAGCUAGUUGGUAAGGUAACGGCUUACCAAGGCAACGAUGCGUAGCCGACCUGAGAGGGUGAUCGGCCACACUGGAACUGAGACACGGUCCAGACUCCUACGGGAGGCAGCAGUAGGGAAUCUUCCGCAAAGGGCGAAAGCCUGGCGGAGCAACGCCGCGUGAGUGAUGAAGGUCUUCGGAUCGUAAAACUCUGUUAUUAGGGAAGAACAUAUGUGUAAGUAACUAUGCACAUCUUGACGGUACCUAAUCAGAAAGCCACGGCUAACUACGUG